CCUACGGGUGGCUGCAGUGGGGAAUAUUGGACAAUGGGGGGAACCCUGAUCCAGCCAUGCCGCGUGUGUGAAGAAGGCCCUCGGGUUGUAAAGCACUUUCAGUGAGGAAGAACGCCUGGUGGUUAAUACCCACCAGGAAAGACAUCACUCACAGAAGAAGCACCGGCUAACUCCGUGCCAGCAGCCGCGGUAAUACGGAGGGUGCGAGCGUUAAUCGGAAUUACUGGGCGUAAAGCGCGCGUAGGUGGCUUGAUAAGCCGGUUGUGAAAGCCCCGGGCUCAACCUGGGAACGGCAUCCGGAACUGUCAAGCUAGAGUGCAGGAGAGGAAGGUAGAAUUCCCGGUGUAGCGGUGAAAUGCGUAGAGAUCGGGAGGAAUACCAGUGGCGAAGGCGGCCUUCUGGACUGACACUGACACUGAGGUGCGAAAGCGUGGGUAGCAAACAGGAUUAGAUACCCUUGUAGUC
rnacentral:rRNA from 1 species